rnacentral:lncRNA from 1 species
AAGCCUGCGAACCCUAAACCCUACCUGUGUCUCUCCUGCACAGCUAUUGACAUCUUUAUUCGCCAAUCAGAUUUAACUUGGGGACAGGGUCACAGGAGCUGUGUGCAGACUCCAACCAGGUCUUGGGGUCCCACACUUAGCAUCACAACAGACAGUAAAAGACAAAUCCUCAACACUGGACAUUUACAGAGAAUUACCCAGCAGCUGGGAUUAUCAUGUUCUCCAACAGCCAUAGCAAAGUGUGUCAGUGUGUCAGUCACUUUCGUGUUGUGGUGAAAACACACAAGACCAGGAAGUGGGAAGCUAGGAGAAAUCACUUCUUUCACUGCAAACAGAGCAGAAAGUGUGAACAGACAGGACUGAGACCAUGAUCACUCAAUGCCCACCCUCAGCGGCGCUUCCUCCUGCAGGGCUGCACCACCUACAGGUUCCAUAACUUCCCACACAACACAUGGAACCACAUAUUCAAGUACCUGAGCCUGUGGAGACAUUUCUCGCUCAUCACCACCACUACUACACUAUUUCCUAAACUAGUCUGAUCAUAACAACCCCUUGGAUACUUGUUAACCAUCACAUAUCCAGUCCCUACCUCACCCAAGAUCUAUAAAAGCAAAUCUAGUAGGGAAGUAGUUAAAUGUGGAUUCUAACAAAUCCCCAAGAGGAAUGUGACCCGAAAGAGGGUCAGAGUUCAACGUGUAAAAUGAAGGUAUCCUGUCAAGACUGGAAUGAUGUCAUCAACUGCAUGCCUGUCCAGGUGGGAUCCACAGCUGUCAACACUCGCCAGUUCGAAGACAGCUUCUUGGUAAAUUGGGUUCUGUGGGCAGGGAUGGGUAAAGGAACAGUGUCAGCUGAUGCUGACAAAAGGAGGGGGCCUGUAGAUUCCAUCUCUGUCAUCCGACUUCUUCCUAGGAAGCCACGAAUGAGCAUCAAAUCUAGGUGGUGGGGCAGUCUCUGAAGUCUAGGUCUCUAGGAGAUCCUAACAGGAAAACAAUGAGGGCCUUACAUUCCAGGCCUGGUAACCUGUCUUCACUUAGGGCCUCGUGCCCAGUCGUUGGGUCUAGAAUUCCACCCUGACACCAUGGCACCCAACUGCAGCCGGUUACAGAUAAGCCCCUCUCGCGGAAAGGACCAUUCUUCUGGCUAUGUAGGUUCGUCCUGCAGCAGCAGGGCUGGGCAGUCUGCGACCACUUCAGGACUGGAUUAUCAUUUUUACAACAACGGAACGGAGAGCUCAGCUCCUUGGACAACAUCUGGAGGUGGCGCCCGCCGCUCCAGCUUGCGGCCUGAAUAUCCCAGGGCCUCGACUUUCUGGUGCACACAGCUCUGGAGCCAGAAAGUAUACACACACCAUAAAUUUUCCCGCCCCACCCGGCUCACCCCUCAGCCGGCUCACAGCGCUGGCCCUUUCCUCCCGCACUAGUAACUGCAGCCCGCGGCUGAGCACUUUGGGUCCCCGCAAUGGUGGGCAGGGCUGUGCAGCUGUCUAGCCGCUGCAAGAACGCGGUAGCAGCGUUAGAACUCAGAGCGUCGCCUUCGGAAAGCUCCCAGACACUACCUACCUAGGAGGGAAGAUUUGGAGAGCUCAGUAGAGGGGAAAGAGAGUGGAUCAGAUGAGAAUGGAAGGAGUCUGGAAAUUCGGCGGCUUUUAUAUACUUUGUAUGUCUUCCUACACUGUAAAGCCACCAUGUAGACACACGCACACAGUAAACAGCCCGUUGCUUAAAG